rnacentral:rRNA from 1 species
UACGUAGGGUGCGAGCGUUGUCCGGAAUUAUUGGGCGUAAAGAGCUCGUAGGCGGUGUGUCGCGUCGGUCGUGAAAACUUGGGGGCUUAACCCUGAGCUUGCGGUCGAUACGGGCAUCACUGGAGUUCGGCAGGGGAGACUGGAAUUCCUGGUGUAGCGGUGAAAUGCGCAGAUAUCAGGAGGAACACCGGUGGCGAAAGGCGGGGUCUCUGGGGCCGAUACUGACGCUGAGGAGCGAAAGCGUGGGGAGCGAACAGG